rnacentral:rRNA from 1 species
AGGAUGAACGCUGGCGGCGUGCUUAAUACAUGCAAGUCGAGCGGUAAGGCCCCUUCGGGGGUACACGAGCGGCGGACGGCUGAGUAACGCGUGGGAACGUACCCCAAAGUGAGGGAUAAGCACCAGAAAUGGUGUCUAAUACCGCAUGUGCUCUAAGGAGUAAAGCUCCGGCGCUUUGGGAACGGCCUGCGUUCGAUUAGCUUGUUGGUGAGGUAAUGGCUCACCAAGGCGACGAUCGAUAGCUGGUCUGAGAGGAUGACCAGCCAGACUGGGACUGAGAACGGCCCAGACUCCUACGGGAGGCAGCAGUAGGGAAUUUUCCACAAUGGAC